CCAAUAGCGUAUAUUAAAGUUGUUGCAGUUAAAAAGCUCGUAGUUGAAUUUCGGGGUUAGUAGGUUGGUCGUGCCACUGGUAUGUACUGGCUUUACUGAUCCCUCCUUCUUGUAGAACCGUAAUGCCAUUAACUUGGUGUUGCGGGGAAACAGGACUGUUACUUUGAAAAAAUUAGAGUGUUUAAAGCAGGCUAACGCUUGAAUACAUUAGCAUGGAAUAAUGAAAUAGGACGCUCGAUCCUAUUUUGUUGGUUUCUAGGAUUGACGUAAUGAUUAAUAGGGAUAGUUGGGGGCAUUAGUAUUCAAUUGUCAGAGGUGAAAUUCUUGGAUUUAUUGAAGACUAACUACUGCGAAAGCAUUUGCCAAGGAUGUUUUCAUUAAUCAAGAACGAAAGUUAGGGGAUCGAAGACGAUCAGAUACCGUCGUAGUCUUAACCAUAAACUAUGCCGACUAGGGAUCGGAUGAUGUUAAUUUUUUAAUGACUCAUUCGGCGCCUUACG
rnacentral:rRNA from 1 species